UUGAACGCUGGCGGCAGGCCUAACACAUGCAAGUCGAACGGUAACAGGAAGAAGCUUGCUUCUUUGCUGACGAGUGGCGGACGGGUGAGUAAUGUCUGGGAAACUGCCUGAUGGAGGGGGAUAACUACUGGAAACGGUAGUUAAUACCGCAUAACGUCGCAAGACCAAAGAGGGGGACCUUCGGGCCUCUUGCCAUCGGAUGUGCCCAGAUGGGAUUAGCUAGUAGGUGGGGUAACGGCUCACCUAGGCGACGAUCCCUAGCUGGUCUGAGAGGAUGACCAGCCACACUGGAACUGAGACACGGUCCAGACUCCUACGGGAGGCAGCAGUGGGGAAUAUUGCACAAUGGGCGCAAGCCUGAUGCAGCCAUGCCGCGUGUAUGAAGAAGGCCUUCGGGUUGUAAAGUACUUUCAGCGGGGAGGAAGGGAGUAAAGUUAAUACCUUUGCUCAUUGACGUUACCCGCAGAAGAAGCACCGGCUAACUCCGUG
rnacentral:rRNA from 1 species